CGGCCUAGCAAGUCUCUGGUUAAACUUCAAGGCUUAACCUUGAGAUUGCUGGAGAUACUGCUAGGCUAGGGGGCGGGAGAGGUUGAGGGUACUUCACGGGUAGGGGCGAAAUCCUAUAAUCCGUGAAGGACCACCAGUGGCGAAGGCGCUCAACUGGAACGCGCCCGACGGUGAGGGACGAAAGCCAGGGGAGCAAAGGGGAUUAGAUACCCCCGUAGUCCUGGCUGUAAACGAUGCGGGCUAGGUGUUGGGUUGGCUUCGUGCCAACCCGGUGCCGCAGUGAAGGCGAUAAGCCCGCCGCCUGGGAA
rnacentral:rRNA from 1 species